UGGGGAAUAUUGCACAAUGGGCGCAAGCCUGAUGCAGCCAUGCCGCGUGUGUGAAGAAGGCCUUCGGGUUGUAAAGCACUUUCAGCGAGGAGGAAGGUGGUGAGCUUAAUACGCUCAUCAAUUGACGUUACUCGCAGAAGAAGCACCGGCUAACUCCGUGCCAGCAGCCGCGGUAAUACGGAGGGUGCAAGCGUUAAUCGGAAUUACUGGGCGUAAAGCGCACGCAGGCGGUUUGUUAAGUCAGAUGUGAAAUCCCCGGGCUCAACCUGGGAACUGCAUUUGAAACUGGCAAGCUAGAGUCUCGUAGAGGGGGGUAGAAUUCCAGGUGUAGCGGUGAAAUGCGUAGAGAUCUGGAGGAAUACCGGUGGCGAAGGCGGCCCCCUGGACGAAGACUGACGCUCAGGUGCGAAAGCGUGGGGCAGCAAACAGGAUUAGAUACCCUGGUAGUCCACGCUGUAAAACGAUGUCGAUUUUGGAGGUUGUGCCCCUUGAGGCGUGGCUUCCGGAGCUAACGCGUUAAAGUCGACCGCCUGGGGGAG
rnacentral:rRNA from 1 species